rnacentral:lncRNA from 1 species
GAAGACACAUAGGGAAGAGGGCCAUGUGAGGACAAAGCAGCGAUGGGAGUGAUGCGGCCAGAAGCCAGGGAAUACCAGGAACCAGCACCAUCCAGAAAAGGCCAGAAGGAUCCUCACCUAGAGCUUUUGGAGGGAACGUGGUCACACCUUGAUUUCAGACUUCUGGUUUCUAGAACUGGGCCUGGGCCAAGUGAAUACAUUGAUGUGUAUGUUUUUCCAUGUCAAGGAUACAUGAUUUGUGGAUGAUUUUCUAGCCACCAGCCAGUGGGUUGGCCACACCAGUCCUUGCCUCCCGUGCUUACCUAGGGAAAGCGGAGCCCCCACUGAUUGGGGUCGGGGGAGAUGCAGAAGUAACUUCGCAGAGGACCGAUGAGCUCAUGCCGGGGACACAAGUUGCUGUGCGGCUUUCCACAGGGGAAGAGUUAUGGGCAACUUCAGAGCAGCAACCAGGAUUCGGUAAAAUACUUUUAACGCAAAGUACUGCUCUAUAGUGACCUGAGAGCCCUGGCCUUGUGGCCGGUACUUCCCGUGGAGACCACUGCAGGUGCACUCAUUCUUCAUUCUUUGGACAAAUAUUUGUGGAGGACCUAAAUACGCCUAACACUAGAUAUUAGGCCCACCAUGGUGAGCAGGCCAGGCUGGCUCACAUCCUAGUAGAAGAGACACAUAUGAAGGAAAUGAACAAGGUACCAGGACAGAGACUUACAGGAGAGAGUGUGGCUGGAAGGCUUCUCUGAGGAAGGGACUUGGGGACUUGAAGGACAGGAAGGAGCCAGCCAUCAAAUGAGCUACGGUAAGACCAUUCCUGGCCGAGGCAGCCAGAGAACAGAGUCCUUGAGGUGGGGAAGGGCUUGGCCAGUUCUAGGCAUGCGCCCAAGGCCACUUUGGCUGGAAAACGGUAAGGUCUGGAAGGCUCCGGUAAGGAGUAGGAAUUUGGCACUGUCUCACCUAGGAGAGGGGAAACUGCUAACGCAAUGGCACAUCACCACCUCCAGGAAGUCUUUCAGGGUUGCCUUUGUGGAGGUGAGCCGCCAUACCACAGAAAGCCUGGGCCUACUGUCAUGGUCUCAACUGGCCGUCAUCAUCUGUGACUUUGCCUCUUAAGAUUCUUUGUAUUAUGAGGGGUGGGUGUCUUCCCAAAGGCCUCUAAUUCUCUCACCGCCACUGCUGUAAUGACCUCCUAAAGGUCUCUAAUACUCAGAAUAGCAGAAUAGGGUGACAUGUGGGUGAU